UGGAAACUNUCUGACUUGAGUGCAGAAGGGGAGAGUGGAAUUCCAUGUGUAGCGGUGAAAUGCGUAGAUAUAUGGAGGAACACCAGUGGCGAAAGCGGCUCUCUGGUCUGUCACUGACGCUGAGGCUCGAAAGCGUGGGUAGCGAACAGGAUUAGAUACCCUGGUAGUCCACGCCGUAAACGAUGAGUGCUAGGUGUUAGGCCCUUUCCGGGGCUUAGUGCCGGAGCUAACGCAAUAAGCACUCCGCCUGGGGAGUACGACCGCAAGGUUGAAACUCAAAGGAAUUGACGGGGGCCCGCACAAGCGGUGGAGCAUGUGGUUUAAUUCGAAGCAACGCGAAGAACCUUACCAGGUCUUGACAUCCCGAUGCUAUUCUUAGAGAUAGGAAGUUACUUCGGUACAUCGGAGACAGGUGGUGCAUGGUUGUCGUCAGCUCGUGUCGUGAGAUGUUGGGUUAAGUCCCGCAACGAGCGCAACCCUUAUUGUUAGUUGCCAUCAUUAAGUUGGGCACUCUAGCGAGACUGCCGGUAAUAAACCGGAGGAAGGUGGGGAUGACGUCAAAUCAUCAUGCCCCUUAUGACCUGGGCUACACACGUGCUACAAUGGUCGGUACAACGAGUUGCGAGCCGGUGACGGCAAGCUAAUCUCUGAAAGCCGAUCUCAGUUCGGAUUGGAGGCUGCAACUCGCCUCCAUGAAGUCGGAAUCGCUAGUAAUCGCGGAUCAGCACGCCGCGGUGAAUACGUUCCCGGGCCUUGUACACACCGCCCGUCACACCACGAGAGUUUGUAACACCCGAAGUC
rnacentral:rRNA from 1 species